rnacentral:sRNA from 1 species
UCGGUUAGCUAUCAUAGGAGUCUUUGAUCUAAAAGAGAAACUGGAAAUUCUGCAACAACAAACAAGAUGUGUUUGGGUGAAUUUCAAAUUAGAUCGAUUUGAUAUUAUGAACUUUGUUUUCUCAUAUCGUAUUUUUAAAGAAGCAUACAGUCAUGAAAAGCAUAGGAAUCUUUUUUACAAAGAUUAUUCACAGCAAACUAAAUACGAAUACCGGGAUGAUGCAAUUAGAAAAUUAGCUACAUGUGGUAUUUACCAUCCUAGUUACAGGCUGCUUGCAAUGGACAACUGUUUUUUCCCUGGUUUAUACGAACCGAAUUGUGCUUUCGGUGUUGUCUGUGAGGAUUACUUCUUUACAAGAGACAAUCUUUAAAUUCAACUUUUAACGUCUUAUGUUUGCUGUUCAAUUCUAAAAAUAGAUUAAAAUUAGCAUGAUGAUAAUCA